CCUACGGGUGGCAGCAGUGAGGAAUAUUGGUCAAUGGACGAGAGUCUGAACCAGCCAAGUAGCGUGAAGGAUGACGGCCCUAUGGGUUGUAAACUUCUUUUAUAAAGGAAUAAAGCGAGGCACGUGUGCCUGUUUGCAUGUACUUUAUGAAUAAGGAUCGGCUAACUCCGUGCCAGCAGCCGCGGUAAUACGGAGGAUCCGAGCGUUAUCCGGAUUUAUUGGGUUUAAAGGGAGCGUAGAUGGGUUGUUAAGUCAGUUGUGAAAGUUUGCGGCUCAACCGUAAAAUUGCAAUUGAUACUGGCAGUCUUGAGUACAGUUGAGGUAGGCGGAAUUCGUGGUGUAGCGGUGAAAUGCUUAGAUAUCACGAAGAACCCCGAUUGCGAAGGCAGCUUACUAAACUGUGACUGACAUUGAUGCUCGAAAGUGUGGGUAUCAAACAGGAUUAGAUACCCUUGUAGUC
rnacentral:rRNA from 1 species